rnacentral:rRNA from 1 species
UGACUAACCUACCCUGGAGUGGGGGAUAACUGAGGGAAACCUUAGCUAAUACCGCAUAAUACCUACGGGUCAAAGGAGCAAUUCGCUUCAGGAGGGGGUCGCGGCCGAUUAGUUAGUUGGCGGGGUAAUGGCCCACCAAGACAGUGAUCGGUAUCCGGCCUGAGAGGGCGCACGGACACACUGGAACUGAAACACGGUCCAGACUCCUACGGGAGGCAGCAGUGGGGAAUUUUGCGCAAUGGGGGAAACCCUGACGCAGCAACGCCGCGUGGAGGAUGAAGUCCUUCGGGACGUAAACUCCUUUCGAUCGGGACGAUUAUGACGGUACCGGAAGAAGAAGCCCCGGCUAACUUCGUGCCAGCAGCCGCGGUAAUACGAGGGGGGCGAGCGUUGUUCGGAAUUAUUGGGCGUAAAGGGUGCGUAGGCGGUUUUGUAAGUCUUAUGUGAAAUCUAUGGGCUCAACUCAUAGACUGCAUGAGAAACUGCAGGGCUUGAGUAUGGGAGAGGUGAGUGGAAUUCCUGGUGUAGCGGUGAAAUGCGUAGAUAUCAGGAGGAACACCUGUGGCGAAAGCGGCUCACUGGACCAUAACUGACGCUGAUGCACGAAAGCUAGGGGAGCAAACAGGAUUAGAUACCCUGGUAGUCCUAGCCCUAAACGAUGACUGCUUAGUGUGACGGGUACCCAAUCCCGCCGUGCCGUAGCUAACGCGUUAAGCAGUCCGCCUGGGGAGUACGGUCGCAAGGCUGAAACUCAAAGGAAUUGACGGGGGCCCGCACAAGCGGUGGAGCAUGUGGUUUAAUUCGACGCAACGCG